rnacentral:rRNA from 1 species
AUUGAACGCUGGCGGCAUGCUUUACACAUGCAAGUCGAACGGUAACAGGCCUUCGGGUGCUGACGAGUGGCGAACGGGUGAGUAAUGCAUCGGAACGUACCCAGAGGUGGGGGAUAACGCAGCGAAAGCUGUGCUAAUACCGCAUGUGAUCUGAGGAUGAAAGCGGGGGACCGAGCAGCAAUGUUUGGCCUCGCGCCUUUGGAGCGGCCGAUGUCGGAUUAGCUAGUGGGUGGGGUAAAGGCCUACCAAGGCGACGAUCCGUAGCUGGUCUGAGAGGACGACCAGCCACACUGGGACUGAGACACGGCCCAGACUCCUACGGGAGGCAGCAGUGGGGAAUUUUGGACAAUGGGCGCAAGCCUGAUCCAGCAAUGCCGCGUGCGGGAAGAAGGCCUUCGGGUUGUAAACCGCUUUUGGCAGGAACGAAACGGUGUCCGCUAAUACCGGGCGCUAAUGACGGUACCUGCAGAAUAAGCACCGGCUAACUACGUG